UCACUCACCCAUCCCCCGAUGCGCGAGCCCCCAGCAGUACAGAUCUUCUGUUCCCCGACGCUGAUCCCGGCCGCCCCGCCGGCGCCCCGUCACUCGGCCUCGCCCUCGGCGCCUCCAACACCCGCCGACCCUGCGGCCUCCCUCACCCCGCGCCACCUGCGUCGCCAGCCCUCUCCCUGCGGCCUCCCUCACCCCGCGCCAGGAACCUCCCUGUGACACCCCGGUAGUUAAGCUACAGUAACCACACCAUAAUGAUGCUAGGUCAUCAUGUUUAACUGAGCUAGGUUGUCACCUAAUAAGAAUGAAAGCAGUUAUCAUAUUUAGUUUAAAGACAAACGAAUUAAAUUUUCAGAUGUAAAGAAAUAAAAAUGUUUGAGUUGUAGCA
rnacentral:lncRNA from 1 species